GNNAGUCGACGGCAGCACGGGGGCNACCCUGGUGGCGAGUGGCGAACGGGUGANUNNCNUNUNGGAACGUGCCCUGGAGUGGGGGAUAACUAGUCGAAAGAUUAGCUAAUACCGCAUACGAUCUACGGAUGAAAGUGGGGGAUCGCAAGACCUCAUGCUCGUGGAGCGGCCGAUAUCUGAUUAGCUAGUUGGUGGGGUAAAGGCCUACCAAGGCAUCGAUCAGUAGCUGGUCUGAGAGGACGACCAGCCACACUGGGACUGAGACACGGCCCAGACUCCUACGGGAGGCAGCAGUGGGGAAUUUUGGACAAUGGGCGCAAGCCUGAUCCAGCAAUGCCGCGUGAGUGAAGAAGGCCUUCGGGUUGUAAAGCUCUUCUGUCAGGGAAGAAACGGUGGAGGUUAAUACCUUCUGCUAAUGACGGUACCUGAAGAAUAAGCACCGGCUAACUACGUGCCAGCAGCCGCGGUAAUACGUAGGGUGCAAGCGUUAAUCGGAAUUACUGGGCGUAAAGCGUGCGCAGGCGGUUGUGCAAGACAGAUGUGAAAUCCCCGGGCUCAACCUGGGAAUUGCAUUUGUGACUGUACGGCUAGAGUGUGUCAGAGGGGGGUAGAAUUCCACGUGUAGCAGUGAAAUGCGUAGAGAUGUGGAGGAAUACCGAUGGCGAAGGCAGCCCCCUGGGAUAACACUGACGCUCAUGCACGAAAGCGUGGGGAGCAAACAGGAUUAGAUACCCUGNUAGUCCACGCCCUAAACGAUGUCUACUAGUUGUCGGGUCUUUAUUGACUUGGUAACGCAGCUAACGCGUGAAGUAGACCGCCUGGGGAGUACGGUCGCAAGAUUAAAACUCAANGNAUUGACNGGGACCCGCACAAGCNG
rnacentral:rRNA from 1 species